rnacentral:rRNA from 1 species
CUGACCUCAAAUCAGA